CCUACGGGUGGCAGCAGUGAGGAAUAUUGGUCAAUGGGCGAGAGCCUGAACCAGCCAAGUCGCGUGAGGGAGUACUGCCCUAUGGGUUGUAAACCUCUUUUGUCGGGGAGCAAAAGCCGGACGUGUCCGGCUGUGAGAGUACCCGAAGAAAAAGCAUCGGCUAACUCCGUGCCAGCAGCCGCGGUAAUACGGAGGAUGCGAGCGUUAUCCGGAUUUAUUGGGUUUAAAGGGUGCGCAGGCGGAUUUUUAAGUCAGCGGUAAAAUCGUGGGGCUCAACCCCAUCCAGCCGUUGAAACUGGGGAUCUAGAGUGUGCGAGAGGUAUGCGGAAUGCGUGGUGUAGCGGUGAAAUGCAUAGAUAUCACGCAGAACCACGAUUGCGAAGGCAGCAUACCGGUGCACAACUGACGCUCAGGCACGAAAGCGUGGGUAUCGAACAGGAUUAGAUACCCCAGUAGUC
rnacentral:rRNA from 1 species